ncrna:Polynucleobacter asymbioticus strain P1-4-10KL contig01, whole genome shotgun sequence
GGUGGACUUCUCACUUUAAAGGCUAAUUGGCUAAGGGUUCAAGGGCUUGCGGACCAAAACUGGUAUCAUUGGAAGGUUCGAAACUUAAUAAAUACCCUAGCGCUUAAAGACACUCACCUCCCGCAUAAACAAGCCUCGGGUUAGUAUUUUUGGGGGUUUUGAGCGUCGGAUGGAGCAGGGACUGGAGAUGGUUUGUCACCC